rnacentral:rRNA from 1 species
UGAUACGUAGGGUCCGAGCGUUGUCCGGAAUUAUUGGGCGUAAAGGGCUUGUAGGCGGUUUGUUGCGUCGGAAGUGAAAACUCAGGGCUUAACCCUGAGCCUGCUUCCGAUACGGGCAAACUAGAGGGAUGCAGGGGAGAAUGGAAUUCCUGGUGGAGCGGUGGAAUGCGCAGAUAUCAGGAGGAACACCGGUGGCGAAGGCGGUUCUCUGGGCAUUUCCUGACGCUGAGAAGCGAAAGCGUGGGGAGCAAACAGGCUUAGAUACCCUGGUAGUCCACGCCGUAAACGGUGGGCACUAGGUGUGGGGAACAUUCCACGUUCUCCGUGCCGAAGCUAACGCAUUAAGUGCCCCGCCUGGGGAGUACGGCCGCAAGGCUA